AAGAGGUCACACCCGUUCCCAUACCGAACACGGAAGUUAAGCUCUUCAGCGCCGAUGGUAGUCGGGGGUUUCCCCCUGUGAGAGUAGGACGCCGCCAAGCAAUUGCACGUUAGUG
rnacentral:rRNA from 1 species